AUUUGGGCCAAGGCAGCAUGAGCUCCAGACUUCCAUUUAGAGCAUUUUAUUGCUACUCACCUUGACUGUCAGUCUGGUUCAGAUUCUGCCACUUCCCGCUGCACGUCCUGGCAUUCAGUUUCUUUCCCUGUCAAGUUGUUGUCAUAAUACCCUCCUUGGAGGCUUUUUGGGAGAGUUCAGUGAGAGAGACUGUGUCACGCUCCACACGGAGUACCUGAACAUAACAAGUGUAGCUACUGGACCUUCUUUUUGGUUAACGUGAAUUAAGAAUUAG
rnacentral:lncRNA from 10 species